GACGAACGCUGGCGGCGUGCCUAAUACAUGCAAGUAGAACGCUGAAGGAGGAGCUUGCUUCUCUGGAUGAGUUGCGAACGGGUGAGUAACGCGUAGGUAACCUGCCUGGUAGCGGGGGAUAACUAUUGGAAACGAUAGCUAAUACCGCAUAAGAGUAGAUGUUGCAUGACAUUUGCUUAAAAGGUGCAAUUGCAUCACUACCAGAUAGACCUGCGUUGUAUUAGCUAGUUGGUGGGGUAACGGCUCACCAAGGCGACGAUACAUAGCCGACCUGAGAGGGUGAUCGGCCACACUGGGACUGAGACACGGCCCAGACUCCUACGGGAGGCAGCAGUAGGGAAUCUUCGGCAAUGGACGGAAGUCUGACCGAGCAACGCCGCGUGAGUGAAGAAGGUUUUCGGAUCGUAAAGCUCUGUUGUAAGAGAAGAACGAGUGUGAGAGUGGAAAGUUCACACUGUGACGGUAUCUUACCAGAAAGGGACGGCUAACUACGUG
rnacentral:rRNA from 1 species